rnacentral:rRNA from 1 species
GUAACACGUAGUCAACCUGCCCUGGAGACAUGGAAAACCCCGGGAAACUGGGAUUAAUCCGUGAUAGGUCACCUCAUCUGGAAGGAGAGAUGGCUUAAAGGGGUGCGAGAGCUUCUUUCUUGCAUUCGCUCCAGGAUGGGACUGCGGCCGAUCAGGCUGUUGGCGGUGUAAUGGACCACCAAACCAGUAACCGGUACGGGCCUUGAGAGAGGGGGCCCGGAGAUGGACACUGAGAGAAGGGUCCAGGUCCUACGGGGCGCAGCAGGCGCGAAACCUUCGCAAUGCGCGAAAGCGUGACGAGGUUAAUCCGAGUGGUCCCCGCUGAGGGGAUCUUUUGUUGGCUGUAAAAAGGCCGAUGAAUAAGGGGAGGGCAAGUCUGGUGUCAGCCGCCGCGGUAAUACCAGCUCCUCGAGUGGUCGGGGCGAUUAUUGGGCCUAAAGCAUCCGUAGCCGGUUCUGUAGGUCCUCUGUCAAAUCCAACGGCUUAACCGUUGGCCCGCAGAGGAUACCGCAGGACU